rnacentral:rRNA from 1 species
GACGAACGCUGGCGGCGUGCUUAACACAUGCAAGUCGAACGGAAAGGCCCUGCUUUUGUGGGGUGCUCGAGUGGCGAACGGGUGAGUAACACGUGAGUAACCUGCCCUUGACUUUGGGAUAACUUCAGGAAACUGGGGCUAAUACCUGAUAGGAUCUCCUGCUGCAUGGUGGGGGUUGGAAAGUUUCGGCGGUUGGGGAUGGACUCGCGGCUUAUCAGCUUGUUGGUGGGGUAGUGGCUUACCAAGGCUUUGACGGGUAGCCGGCCUGAGAGGGUGACCGGCCACAUUGGGACUGAGAUACGGCCCAGACUCCUACGGGAGGCAGCAGUGGGGAAUAUUGCACAAUGGGCGGAAGCCUGAUGCAGCAACGCCGCGUGCGGGAUGACGGCCUUCGGGUUGUAAACCGAUUUCGCCUGUGACGAAGCGUGAGUGACGGUAAUGGGUAAAGAAGCACCGGCUAACUACGUG